rnacentral:rRNA from 1 species
GGUUGACCUCGGAUCAGGUAGGAGUUACCCGCUGAACUUAAGCAUAUCAAUAAGCGGAGGAAAAGAAACCAACCGGGAUUGCCUCAGUAACGGCGAGUGAAGCGGCAAGAGCUCAAAUUUGAAAUCUGGCCCCUUGGGGUCCGAGUUGUAAUUUGCAGAGGAUGCUUCGGGUGCGGUCCCCAUCUAAGUGCCCUGGAACGGGCCGUCAUAGAGGGUGAG